AAAAGAAGGUAAAAAAGUUUAAAUGCAAAAGAAAAUUAUUAAAAAUAGUAAAAAAUAUACUUUUAUAAGGCCAUAGAUAAUUUAAUCCCUUUGAGCAUGGAUCGUUCACAGUUAGGAGGUAUGGGAUA
rnacentral:sRNA from 14 species